rnacentral:rRNA from 1 species
GAUGUGUAGGAUAGGUGGGAGGCUUUGAAGUGUGGACGCCAGUCUGCAUGGAGCCGACCUUGAAAUACCACCCUUUAAUGUUUGAUGUUCUAACGUGGACCCGUAAUCCGGGUUGCGGACAGUGUCUGGUGGGUAGUUUGACUGGGGCGGUCUCCUCCUAAAGAGUAACGGAGGAGCACGAAGGUUGGCUAAUCCUGGUCGGACAUCAGGAGGUUAGUGCAAUGGCAUAAGCCAGCUUGACUGCGAGCGUGACGGCGCGAGCAGGUGCGAAAGCAGGUCAUAGUGAUCCGGUGGUUCUGAAUGGAAGGGCCAUCGCUCAACGGAUAAAAGGUACUCCGGGGAUAACAGGCUGAUACCGCCCAAGAGUUCAUAUCGACGGCGGUGUUUGGCACCUCGAUGUCGGCUCAUCACAUCCUGGGGCUGAAGUAGGUCCCAAGGGUAUGGCUGUUCGCCAUUUAAAGUGGUACGCGAGCUGGGUUUAGAACGUCGUGAGACAGUUCGGUCCCUAUCUGCCGUGGGCGCUGGAGAACUGAGGGGGGCUGCUCCUAGUACGAGAGGACCGGAGUGGACGCAUCACUGGUGUUCGGGUUGUCAUGCCAAUGGCACUGCCCGGUAGCUAAAUGCGGAAGAGAUAAGUGCUGAAAGCAUCUAAGCACGAAACUUGCCCCGAGAUGAGUUCUCCCUGAGACUUUAGGUCUCCUGAAGGAACGUUGAAGACGACGACGUUGAUAGGCCGGGUGUGUAAGCGCAGCGAUGCGUUGAGCUAACCGGUACUAAUGAACCGUGAGGCUUAACCUUACAACGCCGAAG